rnacentral:tRNA from 1 species
GGGGUUGUGGCUCAGUGGUACAGCAUUUGCCUAGCAUGUAUGAGGCACUGGGUUCAAUUCUCAGCACCA